CGGGGUACUAAUGCAUGUCGAGCGAAUGGGAUUCGAUGAGUAUGCUCUCAAGAAGUUAGCGGCGGACGGGUGAGUAACACGUGGGUAACCUGCCCAUAAAACUGGGAUAACUCCGGGAAACCGGGGCUAAUACCGGAUAACAUUUUGAACUGCAUGGUUCGAAAUUGAAAGGCGGCUUCGGCUGUCACUUAUGGAUGGACCCGCGUCGCAUUAGCUAGUUGGUGAGGUAACGGCUCACCAAGGCAACGAUGCGUAGCCGACCUGAGAGGGUGAUCGGCCACACUGGGACUGAGACACGGCCCAGACUCCUACGGGAGGCAGCAGUAGGGAAUCUUCCGCAAUGGACGAAAGUCUGACGGAGCAACGCCGCGUGAGUGAUGAAGGCUUUCGGGUCGUAAAACUCUGUUGUUAGGGAAGAACAAGUGCUAGUUGAAUAAGCUGGCACCUUGACGGUACCUAACCAGAAAGCCACGGCUAACUACGUGCCAGCAGCCGCGGUAAUACGUAGGUGGCAAGCGUUAUCCGGAAUUAUUGGGCGUAAAGCGCGCGCAGGGUGGUUUCUUAAGUCUGAUGUGAAAGCCCACGGGCUCAACCGUGGAGGGUCAUUGGAAACUGGGGAGACUUUGGAGUGGCAAAAAGGAGGGAAGUGGGAUUUCAUUGUGUUAGGCGGGUGGAAUUGCCGUAAAGAGAUAUAGGAGAGAACACACCAGUGUGGCGGAAAGGCGAACUUUCUCUGGGUCUUGUUACUCUGACACACUGGAAGGCGCCGAAGGCGUGUGGGGAAGCAAAACAGGAAUAAAAUACCCCUGGGUAGUUCCACGCCCGUAAAACGAAUGGAGUUGCCUAAGUGUGUUAAAGAGGGUUUCCGCCCCUUUAGGUGCGCUGGAAGUUUAACGGCAUUAAGCAACUCCCGCCUGGGGGAGUACGGCCGCAAGGGCUGAAACUCAAAG
rnacentral:rRNA from 1 species